CCAACAUUUUCUCUGCACCAAUGUAUUCUUUUGUUAAUGUCAUGGUUUUUUUUUUUUCUUAACAGCUUGCCUUGUUGAUCAAAUUGUGGAUUAAAUCUCUAUCAUUUUAUAUCUCUCUCUCGCAAAAGGCAUCAAUAUGUCUAGAUCUGUGAUUUAGGGUUUUGAGAACAGGAAUGUUGAUUUAGGGUUAUUUUCAUUGGCUGAUUUGAGCUUACUUAUCUUUAAAAUUUUAAAUUCAUAUUUGUGUUUGCUUGCUGUCUCUCUCAAAACCUAAGAGAUUUGGGGUUAUUUUCCUUGGCUGAUUUGAGUUUCUUUUCAAAAAAAUUUCAAUUCCAUUAUUUUUUAUUUGCUUGUUGUCUCUGUCAAAACCUAAGAGAUUUGUUUUCUCUGUCCUUAUAUUCGAGUUAGAGUGUUUUAAAAUUUUUUAAUUCCACUCUUACUCUUGCUUUGUUAAACUCUGUUGAAGUACUGUUACUUUAAUGUUUUUUGUUUGUUUUGUCUAGUAUGGAGAAUGUUAGCAUGAAUGAUGUGAGUGAACCUACUUUUGGGAUGUUAUUCAAUUCAUAACAGAAUGCAUAUGAUUAUUACAAUAGUUAUAGACGGGCAAUGGGGUUUAGUGUUAGGAAACACUUUCUAAAUAAGAGCAAGAAAGACAAGAUGACCAUAACAUCUAGGGGAUUUGUCUGUUCAAAAGCUGAUUGUCGGUUGAGUGAUAAGCGAGACAUCAAUACUGUUAACCCCCGAGCUGAGACAAGAACAAAUUGCUAGACACGAAUGAACAUAUGUUUGGUUGAUGAUAGAAAAUACAAAUGAUGUGACUUUGUGAGGGAACAUAAUCAUGAGCUUCAUAUUACAUCAACAGUUAUAUGAUGCGUUCACAGAGGAAUAUGUUAGACAUACAUAGGUAGGAAAUUGAUUUGGCAGAUGACUCAGGGAUCAGGCCUAGAUCCACAGUUGAGUUGAUGGGUAGGCAGGCUGGUGGGAUCGAAAACCUGAGUUGUUUGACCCAAGAUGUUAGGAACUAUCUCCGCACUAAAAGACAACGUGCUUUGACAUAUGGUGAAGCAGGUAGUUUGAUGAAGUACUUUGUUACCCAAACUAGGAACAACCCAUCUUUCACAUACUCAUUUCAACUGGAUAGUGAAAAACAAAUAAUUAACAUAUUUUGGGCUGAUCCAAAGAUGAUCAUUGACUGCGCACAAUUUGGAAAUGUAGUCAGCUUUGACACUACAUUUCGCACCAACAAAGAGUGUAGGCCGUUUGGGUUGUUUGCUAGAUUCAAUCAUCAUAGAGUGUGCACUGUAUUCAAGGCCACACUUUUAUAUGAUGAGACAGUGGAAUAUUUUGAAUGGCUGUUUGAGGUAUUCGCUGAAGCACAUGGUGGAAAGAAGCCUUUAAUGAUAUUCAUGGACCAAGACAAAGCUAUGGCUAGAGCAUUAAAAGAAAUGUGGCCUCAGACAUGGCAUGGAUUGUGUACUUGGCACUUAAUGCAGAAUGGCAUUACACAUUUGGGUCAUAUGAUGAAAGAUGGCUCCAAGUUUCUUACAGGUUUAAAGAAAUGCAUAUACCAAUAUGAUGUGGAAGAUGAAUUCGAGACAGCAUGGUAUAAUUUGCUGAACGAGUAUGAUGUUAAGGAUAAUGCAUGGUUGCAGCGCAUUUAUGGUCUUAAAAGUCAAUGGGCGAAGUGCUAUAUGAAAAACACAUUCACAAUAGGCAUUCGAAGUACACAGCUCAGUGAGAGUCUGAACAGUGCCUUGAAAGACUAUUUGAAGUCAACUUUGGAUGUUGUACAAUUUUUUAAACAUUUUGAGAGAGUUCUUAACCAAAAGCGUGGUAAUGAAUUAAAAGCUGAUUUGAUGCACGAAACAAGAUGCCACGACUUGCAAAUUCAAUGUCAAUUGUACAGAAACAAGUUGGGGAACUCUACACUCCUGUAAUUUUUCAGUUAUUUCAAAAGGAAUAUAAUUGGAUGACUGUUUGCACCAUCAUAGGCCGAACUAAUGGAAUGCCCUUCAUUAAUUUUCAGGUUGGGAUUUUUUAAGCAAACUGUGAAUAUAAAGUAUGUUGUAACCCACUUCAAGGAAUUGUAGCAUGCAGUUGCAUGAAAUUUAAGAUAGAUGGUAUUCUGUGUUGCCAUUGUUUGAAAGUUUUUUAUGUGUUAGAUAUAAAGUGUAUUCCUGAAUGCUAUAUUUUGAAGAGAUGGACACGGGGAGCAAGAACUAUGGUGGUCAAUGACAGUAGGGGGAAAGAAGUUGAACAAGAUGUCAACUUAGAUUGUAUGCAAUGGUAUAAGCAUAUUUGUCCUGAACUUAUUCUAAUAGCAUCAGAAGCUUCAAAAACAAUUGAGGAAUACAAUUUGGUGAAAGAUGCUACGAAUGAAUUAAGGUUGAAACUUGGUAAUAUUAGAAUCAACCCAGCUGAUUGCCCUGAUAUGCCAAUAUUGCCUAAUUUCUCCGAUGACGUAUACAAUGGAUUACGUUUGAAGCAUAAAAAGAAAAGUACAAGAGGUGGUAGAUGGUUAAAGAGUUGGGUUGAAAAACAAGGGAAAAAAAAAGUGGAGGGCCAAGUAACAAUCAACGAUUACAAGAACAACAACUAACACAUGCACCAACUCCUACACAAUUGAUGGAUAACACAUAUCCCAGUUACAUAUCACUUAUGGUGAGUAGGUUUGGCUUGUUAUGUUGUUUUCUGUAUUUUUUAUUUUCUUAGUCAAUCUAGAUUGCCUAAUAUUCAAUGUCACUUGUAGGAUUCUAUUUCCCAUAUAUCAUCUCAAGCAUCUGUAGCUCAUCAAUCACAGGAUGAAGAUUAUAUUUAGAUUCAGCUAAUGAGGACUAUUGUGUUUUGCUAUUAAAUACAUCUAGUUAAUGUCAUGGCUUAUUUUUGUAAUAUUAAAAUACGAAGUUUCAUUGGAUCUUUAUUUUUGUGCUUGCCAAUACAUCUAGGAUUCUAAUGAUUUCUAUUGAUUUUUAUCCUCUACUAUACUAACAAUCUUUUUUUGUAGGUAAGGAGUCUUUAGCUCAAAAUGGUAGAGCACCUGAGUUAGUGCCCAGGUUAUGGUGGUUUGAAUCCACCAAGACUUCGAAAAGUGUCUGCAAUGUUCCAUACUCUUUUUGUGGGAAACGGAAUAGAUUAAUCUGAGCCGCGAAUCUGGAAUAUUACACGUGUCGGUCGCUUGGGGGCCAUUGUACAGAAUUGUAUGAGAUCCGAAUUUCAGACGAUUUCUCUCCAGUCAGGGGGCACUCGGACUUCUUCUUCUCGGGGAAUGUCUACUAGCGGAUCUGUGAUGGAUUUAACUGGUGAUUGAGGCGGCCAGUCGGUUCGAGAGGAUGGUCGUGAAGAAGCAGAAAGUUGAUCAAGAGGGCCAACAAUUAUGGGAUCAACUGGCUCCAGUAUGGGGCCAACUAGAAGCGUUUGCAAAGCAAUGUCGAGCUGAGGAAUACAAGGCCCUUGCGGCCGAGAAGAGGGCAUCUCAGCUAGCGGAUGACGUGAGCAAGCAGCUUCUAGCGCAUGACCUUAUAAAGUCUAAGGAACGUCUACAGGGUGAGGUUGUAGAACUUCAGGAGGAUUUUCAGAAAAGGAGUGCAACCCAUCAUCUCGCCGUCCAAGCCUUGACUGAGCAGCAUCAUGUCAAGUUGAAGGAGGCCGAGGAGAGAUCAGUUGAGAGAUAUCUGAACUCCCAGGUCAGCCAAGAUUGGUUUCUCAACCUCAACACUUCGUCCUUCAACUCAAAGCCAGAUUCGGCGGUCAACUUUAUUCUGAAGAAGUACCCUCCUCUAGAUUUGAGCGACUAUGAGCACUACCUCCCCCCUCUUGAAUCCUUUAUGCUGCUACCAGGUCAAUUGAUUGUCGAAGUGGGAGAGGAGGUGGACUAAGAGGAGGCCGCUACUCCUAUAGGCAUGAAGAAGAAGGAUCCUCCUGCUGCUCCUUGAGUUUGUGCCUGAGAUCCGUCAAUGCCUCUGCAUUCCUCACCUGCUUUCCUUUUUCUUUUUCUUUUUUUUCUAUAACCAGGCCCCUUAGGGUGCAUCUUGAUAUAUGAUUUUUUUUUUCUUGAGCCCUCUUUGGGUAGCAUUGUAAUAUACCUGAAAAGAGAAUGAAAUUGUUUUUUCCGUUGUUCUUUAUUUA